AGGAACCUGCCACAAUGACGCAAGUCUGAUGGAGCAACGCCGCGUGAGUGAAGAAGGUUUUCGGACCGUAAAGUUCUGUUGUUGGUGAAGAAGGAUAGAGGUAGUAACUGGCCUUUAUUUGACGGUAAUCAACCAGAAAGUCACGGCUAACUACGUGCCAGCAGCCGCGGUAAUACGUAGGUGGCAAGCGUUGUCCGGAUUUAUUGGGCGUAAAGCGAGCGCAGGCGGAAGAAUAAGUCUGAUGUGAAAGCCCUCGGCUUAACCGAGGAAUUGCAUCGGAAACUGUUUUCUUGAGUGCAGAAGAGGAGAGUAGAACUCCAUGUGUAGCGGUGGAAUGCGUAGAUAUAUGGAAGAAUACCAGUGGCGAAGGCGGCUCUCUGGUCUGCAACUGACGCUGAGGCUCGAAAGCAUGGGUAGCGAACAGGAUUAGAUACCCUGGUAGUCCAUGCCGUAAACGAUGAGUGCUAAGUGUUGGGAGGCUUCCGCCUCUCAGUGCUGCAGCUAACGCAUUAAGCACUCCGCCUGGGGGAGUACGACCGCAAGGUUGAAAC
rnacentral:rRNA from 1 species